UACGUAGGGUCCGAGCGUUGUCCGGAAUCACUGGGCGUAAAGGGCGCGUAGGUGGCGCGACAAGUCAGUGGUGAAAGUUCGACGCUCAACGUCGAAUCGGCCACUGAUACUGUUGGGCUUGAGCACUGUAGAGGCUAAUGGAAUUCCGGGUGUAGCGGUGGAAUGCGUAGAGAUCCGGAAGAACACCGGUGGCGAAGGCGGUUAGCUGGGCAGUUGCUGACACUGAGGCGCGACAGCGUGGGGAGCAAACAGG
rnacentral:rRNA from 1 species